rfam:Populus trichocarpa scaffold_7_contig_59, whole genome shotgun sequence.
AGAGGCCUAUGAUGAUUUGAAUUUGCCUACAUUGUCUGAUUGUCUAACAUAUGACAGAGACAUAUAAACUAGCUCUGAGGCCUCC